UAGCUAGUUGGUGAGGUAAUGGCUCACCAAGGCGACGAUCCCUAGCUGGUCUGAGAGGAUGAUCAGCCACACUGGAACUGAGACACGGUCCAGACUCCUACGGGAGGCAGCAGUGGGGAAUAUUGCACAAUGGGCGCAAGCCUGAUGCAGCCAUGCCGCGUGUAUGAAGAAGGCCUUCGGGUUGUAAAGUACUUUCAGCAGUGAGGAAGGUGGUAGUGUUAAUAGCACUAUCAUUUGACGUUAGCUGCAGAAGAAGCACCGGCUAACUCCGUGCCAGCAGCCGCGGUAAUACGGAGGGUGCGAGCGUUAAUCGGAAUUACUGGGCGUAAAGCGCAUGCAGGUGGUUUGUUAAGUCAGAUGUGAAAGCCCGGGGCUCAACCUCGGAAUUGCAUUUGAAACUGGCAGACUAGAGUACUGUAGAGGGGGGUAGAAUUUCAGGUGUAGCGGUGAAAUGCGUAGAGAUCUGAAGGAAUACCGGUGGCGAAGGCGGCCCCCUGGACAGAUACUGACACUCAGAUGCGAAAGCGUGGGGAGCAAACACGAUUAGAUACCCUGGUAGUCCACGCCGUAAACGAUGUCUACUUGGAGGUUGUGGCCUUGAGCCGUGGCUUUCGGAGCUAACGCGUUAAGUAGACCGCCUGGGGAGUACGGUCGCAAGAUUAAAACUCAAAUGAAUUGACGGGGGCCCGCACAAGCGGUGGAGCAUGUGGUUUAAUUCGAUGCAACGCGAAGAACCUUACCUACUCUUGACAUCCUCAGAAGUAGACAGGAGACAGUCUUGUGCCUUCGGGAACUGAGAGACAGGUGCUGCAUGGCUGUCGUCAGCUCGUGUUGUGAAAUGUUGGGUUAAGUCCCGCAACGAGCGCAACCCUUAUCCUUGUUUGCCAGCGAGUAAUGUCGGGAACUCCAGGGAGACUGCCGGUGAUAAACCGGAGGAAGG
rnacentral:rRNA from 1 species